AUUGAACGCUGGCGGCAGGCCUAACACAUGCAAGUCGAACGAGUGGCGGACGGGUGAGCAAUGUACGGGAACCUGCCCGAUGGAGGGGGAUAACUACUGGAAACGGUAGCCAAUACCGCACAUCAUCGGAUGUGCCCAGAUGGGAUGAGCUAGUAGGUGGGGUAACGGCUCACCUAGGCCACGAUCCCUAGCUGGUCUGAGAGGAUGACCGACCGUACUGGAACUGAGGCACGGGCCGGGGGCAUGCGGGAGGCAGCAGUGGGGAAUAGUGCACAGUAGGCGCAAACCUGGUGCCGGCAAGCCGGAUUUAUGAAGAAGGCCUGCGGGGUGGAAAGUACUUUCAGCGAGGAGACGUUACUCGCAAGAGAAGCACCGGCGGACUCCGUGCCAGGGGCCGCGGUAAUUC
rnacentral:rRNA from 1 species